AUCUGUAUGUAUUCAACCCGCGGUUCCUCUGUUUCAUCUUAUCCAGAUUCCCCCUCCUCGUGGCGCUCCGCCCCGCCCCGCCCACCUCCUACUACGCCCCUCGCGCCGCCGGCCGCCUCCUGCCUCGCUCCGCCCCUCACCACGCGCCGCCGGCCUUCUCCUGCCUCCUAAUCCCAUCUCCUCCUUACCCGCGGCUUUCUUCGCCGUUCACCGCUCCUCUCCACCUACUGGUCGCGACCUCGUGGGAGGCAGAGGAUGGGAAGGUGCGGCGCUGGCGUCCGGCUCCAGGAGCUCGAGAGGGCCGAUCUGCGCGUCCGCGACCUCGCGGGAGGCAUGGCGUGGCGUGCUGCGCUCGAUACGAGCGGGAUCGAGUAAGGGGAUUGGAGGGUGGCGCCGGCGGGAUCGCGGACGGGGAUGGAGUGGGCGGGUGCCGGCAAGAUCGAGGUCGGGGAUGGAGAGGGCGGUCGGCGAGCUGGCGGCUGAGGAUGGAAGAGGCGGCGCUAAUUCGCUGCUACCCGCACCGCACCACGUCCCUAGCUUCCUCCUCUCUGAUCGAACCGAGUCCGUUUUACAAAGGGAUCCGGCGACUAGAGGGGGAGCUGCCACCGGUGAUGCUGCCGGAGAAGCUGGCGAGGUUCCUCCAGAAGUGCGCCUAAGGAGUUCCAGGACGAGCCCCAGUACGGCGGCGACUGGUGGUACCUUCGCGGCCGGGUUUCAUAUGAACAGGCAUGGUGGGAGGGCGAUGCUCCAUUGAUUGCUUUUCUUAAUAUUACAGAGGGAGCAUCGAAGUGGCGAUUGGUACUUUCCCUUUCAGCGGCCAAAGAAAAGCAACACUUUUUCAUGUGAUUUCAGAUGAAACGACCAGAGUGUGUAAAAUCUAGAUCGCUACAAACAGGUCAAGAAUAACUUCUCCAAGCUCUCAGAAGAGAAGCAAUAAUGUGACUCCCAGGUGCAUCUCUGAGAGAAAAGCUGGAGAUGCUUUGCCAGUGGCAAAACAAAGGGAAGUAAUUGCUACGGACGCCAGCCAGGUGUUCAUGCUAUUUGAUUCGUGUUUUCUGCUCUUAAUAAUGCUUCCGUUUUUCUUCUUUUAGAACCCUUCUUUUGUACUCUUACAAAUAACAGAUGAAAGGAGAAGGAUGAAGAAGUCAAGCUAUUGCAGAGAUCAAUUGAGGAGCUCAAAAGAACUUUAGUGUUCUCAAAAGUAGCUUUAUUCAGUUUGAGUGAAUUUUGUGGCCUAAGUGUUGUAGCUAUUCAUUUUGCCACGCAUUCUGAAUGUUAGCACACACCCAUGUUGGUACAGAACUCCUAUUGUUAUGCCUGUUAUGACAACAACUUUCCCAGAUUUUCGUGCAUAAACAUUCAUAUAUGGACUAAAUUCUUUUGUUACUUGCUCAGUGAAUACAUAUGUAUGCUUUUUUUUU